GCAUAGUUCACACACCAUAGACUGUCUGCUGCACAGCGAAGAGUUUUGAAGUGUCACUUUAUUUAGUGAAAAUGUCUGGGAAAGUUGUGUUGCAUUACUUCAAUGGAAGAGGGAAAAUGGAGUCAAUCCGAUGGCUUUUGGCCACAGCUGGAGUCGAGUUUGAGGAGGUGUUUUUGACCAAAAGGGAGCAUUAUGAUAAACUGCUGAAUGAUGGAGCCCUGAUGUUUCAGCAGGUGCCUUUGGUUGAAAUAGAUGGGAUGCAGCUUGUCCAGACAAAGGCUAUCUUGAAUUACAUCGCUGGAAAAUACAACCUCUAUGGAAAAGACCUUAAAGAACGGGCUUUGAUUGACAUGUAUUCAGAGGGAACCCUCGAUCUAAUGGAACUUAUCUUGCUGUUGGCUAUUGCGCCACCUGAAGACAAGCAGAAACAGCUCAGUAAUAUAGAGCAAAAGGCAAAAGAGCGCUUCAUGCCUGUGUUUGAAAAGGGUCUUGCAAACUCUGAUUUCCUGGUGGGAAACCAGUUGAGCCGCGCUGACGUUCACCUUCUGGAAGCCACUCUGAUGCUGCAGGAGUUAUUCCCUACAAUACUGUCAACCUUUCCCAAAAUCCAGAAUCCAUGAUGCCAUUUAUCUGAACAUGAUGUCCAGGACCUCUGGCAGAAAAAUAGGCCCAUAAUUUCAAAGAUCCAGCAGUGUGGUGUACUUUUUAUCCCUGUGUGCACCAAACCCAUCUGUCUAGUUCCAUUACAGAGGACUAGAUCAUAACAUCUGCGAGUAAAGAUGAGCACAACAAACACAGAUCUGUUCCAGGAGAUUGUGGACUCCCUCCACCGUAUGCUCACAUUGCCAGCCGUCAUGCCCAUUGCCACACCAUUCACCUCUUCAUCACCGCCUGUCAUCGCCAGUCCCAUGGUCCCAGCAGUGCCUGGUUCAGCGGAGGAUUGCAGUGGAUUAUACUCCAAUACUCCAGAACCAGUAGAAGAACAUCUGCAAGUGCAACAAGAAACAAGAUUUCAAACAGAAACAAGAUUAUUUUUCUUUCCCCAUUGGCAGAUAAUUUUGCUCAUUUUAAUCAAAAACUUACUUCAUUUUGAUUUUUUUUCUUCCAGAAAACAAGAAAAAAUAUCUGUCAUUUUACUUAUCUAGUAAUCUGGAUUUAAGAAUUGUUAGAUAUUUAAACUGGAAACAAGACAAAAAUAUUAAAUAAGAAAAGCAUUUUUUGCAGUGUACAAAUAUUUUCGAUAGUUACAGCUGUAUUUUUACGAGUCAGAGUUAUAAGUUAGAAAACUGGCUUGCGAUAGUACUGUUUAAUGUCAUAAACUAGGAUGACGUAGCAUUUUUUAAAAUCUAAAUUAGUCUAUACAUGCACAAAUGAACGUUUUUCGGUGCUCAAGAUUUUUACUUUAUUUUUCAUUCAUUCGAUCAGCAGACGCUUGUCUGAAAAGCUUAAGCUGUAGAAAACUGUUCCAGGAAACGGUGUAAUAAUAUAUUUACUCAAUAACUCGAGUGGGAUUAUUGAUAUCAGCAUUUGUAUUCACAAGAUUAUUUGUGUAGAUGAGUGUGUUAGCAGGACGGUAGGUGAAAGUUUGUGCCUUUUGUCCUGAUGCCCAUUUAGCACCACCCACGAAGUACAAAACACCCUGAAUAGUCAAUACAAAACACACUACACAGUGCACACACUGUUGCAUAACAAAGAGUUUUGAAGUGUCACUUUAUU